UUGAAAGCUUUCGCGGGUGUUUUUGUUUUGCUAGCUUCGGCAUUUUAUCUCUUGGCUAUUGCAAACUUUAUAAAGCAAUGCUGAGAUGAAAAGCAAGACGUUGUGCGUUGACUGGUUUACACUGCUGGAUAAUUGGUGUUUCAGCUGGAGCCGAUAACUUAGUGGAAGUGAAGCUCGUUCUCCGUCCAUUCAAAGUUGAAUCAUUAUUUGGACCUCCCAGCCUUCCACCCGGAAGGAAGGAGAAAUGAACCAGCCCUAGGAACCUGAAUAGCUUGGGCCUAUGACCCACUCAUGCAGUGGGGAUAUAUGAAUGGUGUCCCGUCAUUAUGCAUUCAACAGCCCAUACGCAAGAAGAAGAGGCAUUCAACAGCUACGUAUGUACAUAAUAUCAAUAUUAACCAUUUAGUUUCCAUUCCAUCUGACCAACCUAUGCAAAUCUAUCUAAAGGUACUAAAUGCCUGGUGUUCUGGUAGAUUAAUAUUUGUGGGAUAUAAGUGCAUUGCACACAGUUUAGAACUAAGCUGCUGGUGAGGUAGAUAUUGGAGUGAAUAAGAUAGUUUGCAAAAGAUGAUCUUUCUGCAUUUUCUUUGGUGUCAUAAGACCUAUUUUUUAAUUUUUGGUUGCAAUACAUUUUGAGGUUCAG